AGGGGAAUAUGAAGCCCUCUGAGCUAUGCCACGUUGGAUUAUAAAUUCAGCCAAUGAAAGAGUUUGAUUUUGCCACAUCACUAUCGCUGACUCAGAAUGGGCAUUUCGGGUGGGCUACGUAAAUUAUAAUUCUGCUCAUCUCAUCCCAAAACCAUAUUCGUGUACAGCUUUGCAUUCUCUUGCGCUGACUUUUCCACUUCCUCUUCUCCGAUCUCUAAAUUCUUGCAUUGUCUUAAACAAUCAAUGAUGAUCUUUAACAUUUUCUUAAAUGUUUCGUUUCACCUCCCCUUACUCCUCCUCCUGUAUAAAGGCCUAUGUCUAAACUAAAAUCCACCAGAAAAUCUCGGCUCUCCACCGUAAACGGCCGUUGAUUACAACGAAAUCUUACCAGGACCAGUUCACUCAGAUCAAUCAUGCAUGUGAGUUUGAUCUUAUCCACAGUCUCAAUUCUUCUGUUUAUUCAAGGAAACUAAUGUAUUUUAUUUUCAGAUAAUUUUCUCUGUUAUAUUGGUAUGGUUUUAAUUGGUUUUAAGUUCUGUUUUCAAUGUUGUAAUUCUCUGUAUUCUCAAAAACGUUGAAAAAGAAGAAGCAAUGUUUUUUAGCUGCUAGAGCUUCAAGAACAGAGACUCGAGAUGAUAUUUAUGCUGCUAUGGUUGGAAUACUUGGUAAGUCCAGAGAGUCGAGAGCUGGUAUUAGAGAGAUUCACUUCUUAGGAUUCAAUCCCAUCAACAUAUAAAAAUGCUAAUGGAGACUGGCACCAAGUAAGCAAAGGGGCCUCCAGAGCAGAUUCUUACUCUUUCCAACAGAAGAGCUGAUCUGAGGAAGAGAGACCACUUGGCAAUCGAUAAGUAUGCUCGGUCAUUAGCUGUUCCAAGACGGAUACCUAAGAAAAAAAAAUCUCUGGUGGUCCAUGGGAAUUUGUUGUGGUUGCCUAUGUUUGAUCCUCCACGACAUGAUAGUGCAGCACCAUUAGAAGAGCUUCAGACCUCUGUGUCAACAUCAAUGAUCACUGGUGAUCAUUUUGCUAUUGCCAAAGAGACUUGACGUAAGCUCGGUAUCGGAUCAAACAUGUAUUAUGUAUCCGUAGCAUCACCUUCUCUUCUUGGAUAAGAAAGCCAUUCGAGGGAUUUUAGGCAACCAAGUGACAUUUUUAUAAUCUCUUGAUUCCAAGUAAGUUUACUCUGAGACAUAACAUUAAGCAGAAUGCAGAGAGGUUUUAGAGAGGCGUACGUUGUUUUCAAUAGUGAUUUGGUCUAACGACUCAACUAUUCCGGGUAAUAAUUUCUGAUAUAUACUAUUUUGACAUUUUUGGGUGGUGUUCUACUUCUUGACAAUGGUAGUUACUGGUCAACAAGCAGAUGAAAGGAAAGGACUGAAAACUCUGCUUUUCUCAGUUUAAAUCUAUAAAUGUGGUAUUAGUAUCAGGUCCAUAAUGAUCACUUCUUGUGUGAAGAUGGUGGAUAGAUUGAUUGAAACUGGAGAUGGUGAGCACACUUUUCAGAAAGCAAUCAUGGAGCAAGGAAGAGGGCAGGUUGUUAUUUAGGUUUUGGCAAGAGCGUGACUACAUCUGCAUCAAAACAAUUGUUAGUUUGUUAGGUGUAUCUCCAGUUAGGUUUUUCCUGCCUCUGUGCAUGCAGAUAAUAAAUUUUGGAUACUCUGGCUGAGAUUUAGGACGAGUUGUCUAUUAACAUGAUAUAAGUCAAAUGCUAUUAAAAAGUUAGAAACUAAUCAAAUACAGGGAAUACUCAAAUUAUAUUGAAAUAUUAAAAUAUUAAGAUUAAGAGAAGCUAAAAUCAUUGAUAUUGGUUAAAAUCAAAAUUUAAUUAAUAUUUGUCAUAAAGUUUUGAGAAACUGAUGCAUCACUCAAAAAAAAAAGUGUUGAGAAAAUGUGUCAUCACUGGUAGUUAUUCCAAGAAAGCAAUAGAAAUGACGUUCAAAUAAUAAAUAAAUAUUAAAUCAUGAAAGAAUGAAUACAUGAUAUAUACAGACAGCAACAUACAAGUUCUUUGCAAAUGGAUUUUCAUAUAUAAUUUUACCAAAAAAACAAUUCAUAUAUAGAUUCAAAAACAACUAAAAAUAUAUGUCAUCAAAAUAUAUUGUAUAUUUGUGAUAAUUUUUUUUCAGUCACAAAGAAUUUAUAAAUAUUAUAUACGCUACUAAAAGAAUAUUUGAUCCUUUAUAUAAUAACAAAAAUAUAGAAUGAAGAUAUAAAAAUUGGAAAUAGCA